rnacentral:tRNA from 1 species
UGAGAAGUUAGUAAACCCAUUACAUGGCCUUGUCAAGACCAAAUCACAGGUUAAACUCCUGUACAUCUC